rnacentral:piRNA from 1 species
UGGAAAGUGACUAUUUCUGC